rnacentral:pre_miRNA from 1 species
CCGGGGUGAGUAUUACAUCAGGUACUGGUGUGAUUUUUGAUAUGGCCAUCGUCGGAUAACCGUCCAUCGUUGGGCCGCCAUAGCGACAAUCAGUACUUAUGUUAUACUCUUCCCGU